UGACAACGGUAAUCCACACGCCUUCCUCUGACUGCCACGUCAAGCUCCUUGUGGAACAGCAGCUUUUGAACUUAUUGUACUUGCUGCUGUAACUAACCUGACGCCUCGGACUGUGGGAGAAACACUGGAAGAGCCUGCCAAAACACAUUUAUCAGCGUUCACAACUCUGACUCUAUCUAUGAUUUGAGAAGGCAGCAGAGGUCUCCUCAGACUGUGAAGAUCAGCAGAGCCAGCAGCUGAUCAAGACUACAAGGUCUGUCCCAAACCCCCACGAUCCAUAUACAACAUGAAGAAUUCCUAACAUGAAUACAAUCAAACAUUCAUUGAAAAUGUGUGCAGCUGUACUAUCAGCUGGGCUGUGAAAGACAAGAAUUCUGACGAGGGAGGGCAUUGUAGGU